rnacentral:rRNA from 1 species
CCACAAUGCGCGAAAGCGUGAUGGGGGGAUCCCGAGUGCUUACAGUUUAUCUGUAAGCUUUUGUCAAGAGUAAACAUCUUGGAGCAUAAGUGGUGGGUAAGACCGGUGCCAGCAGCCGCGGUAACCCCGGCGCCACGAGUGGCAAUCUUAUAUUGGGCCUAAAGCAUUCGUAGCAGGUUUGAAAAAUCUCUUGUGAAAUCGUCGAACUCAAUACGACGGCAUGCAGGAGACACUUUCAGACUAGAGACUGGGAGGAGUUGGGGGUAUGUCUAGGGGAGCGGUUAAAUGUGUUAAUCCUAGACAGACCACCUGUGGCGAAGGCGCCCAACUAGAACAGUUCUGACUGUGAGGGAUGAAAGCUAGGGGAGCGAUCCGG